ACUAGUGUGGAUCUAGCCGUCGAUAGCAGCCGGCGUUAAUAUUCAUGAGGCCAGCCUUCAAUAAUAUUCAUGAGCCGUCAAUAAUAUUCAUGAGAUGACUUGCGUUCGAAGAAGUGUUGUUAGAAACUAUGAACGAUAAUUAUAAUUAAAUAACGUUCCUAUUUAUAUUUGAUAUUACUUCAAAUAGGCAUGUCAAUGGGUGUCUUCUUCGAGGUCCGCGUUUAUUGAAUCAACUUUGGGUCUUCUUCAAGGUCUGCGUCUUUAAACAACAUUGUAAAUGUAAUAAAAACAAUGUAAAUGCCUCCAUAAAUAUAAAACAAAGAAAUGGUCUUUUAACAUUCUGUGAUUAGAGAAAUAAUGUAAACUAAAGCAAUAACAAGUUUUAAAAAAAUAUAAUUAAAUAUAGAAAUUAAACGGGACA
rnacentral:lncRNA from 1 species